rnacentral:rRNA from 1 species
AGGGUUCGAUUCUGGCUCAGGAUGAACGCUGGCGGCGUGCUUAACACAUGCAAGUCGAACGAGGCACCUUGCGGAAGUUUCGGAUGGAAGCGGAGGCGACCGAGUGGCGGACGGGUGAGUAACGCGUGGGGAACCUGCCCCAUUCCGGGGGAUACCAGUUGGAAACGACUGUUAAUACCGCAUAAGCGCACGGAAGGACAUCCUUUUGUGUGAAAAACUGAGGUGGAAUGGGAUGGCCCCGCGUCUGAUUAGCCAGUUGGCAGGGUAACGGCCUACCAAAGCGACGAUCAGUAGCCGGCCUGAGAGGGCGACCGGCCACAUUGGGACUGAGACACGGCCCAAACUCCUACGGGAGGCAGCAGUGGGGAAUAUUGCACAAUGGGGGAAACCCUGAUGCAAGCGACGCCGCGUGAGUGAAGAAGUAUUUCGGUAUGUAAAGCUCUAUCAGCAGGGAAGAAGAUGACGGUACCUGCACAAGAAGCCCCGGCUAACUACGUGCCAGCCGCGGC